ensembl:snRNA U1 U1 spliceosomal RNA
AUACUUACCCUGGCUGGGGAGAUACCAUGAUCAUGAAGGUCGUUUUUCCAGGGAGAGGCUUAGUGCACUCCGGAUGCACUGACCGCUGUGAUUUCCCCAAACGUGGGAAACUCAACUGCACAAUUUGUAGUAAUAGGGGACUGUGUUCACACUUUCUCCUU